UCCAAUAGGAGCGGCGUGCAUAGUGACGUGAUGGCAGCGACGUGAGAGCGACGAUCCCGGAGAAGCAGAGACGUCCGGAGUGUCGGGGACACCACAGGGAAGUGGCGACAGCAACGGAGGGUGACAUCCAGGGCAGCGGUGACGGUCCGGAGCGGCGGGGACAGGCUGCUCUGUAUCCCCCGCCUUUCUUCUGCGGUCUGAUAGAACAGGAGUGAGCACGGAUGAGUGCUAGUCCCACCCUCACUGGACUUUGAUCCCAGCCUGUGCUUCAGCUUGGACAAAGAUGAUGCUGCAGCCAGAUAGGAUUGUGUUCUGGAUGGGAAAAUGUGAGGCUCCUGUAGACUGAUUCAACAACAUUAAAGGCAUAUUGUACACUAAGAAAGUAUGGAAAAUGCACAUUUCAACCAAUGACCGUACCGAUAUCUACAGUAGCAGGAAUGUUUUGCACUCCUCACCCACUGUAUACAUACAUAAUUGGUAUAGUCUCUGUCUCUCUUUUAUGCCAUGCUUUGCCAAUCUUCUUCCUUCCACAAGGUGAAUCAACCAGGUUUCAUGCUGUGUAUCUGUAGUAAAAGAUUCCAGACAAAGUAAUGAAAGGAUAUCAGAACAGCAGUGAGGUGGUUAAACUAGUAAUCUGCAGUAGAUAUAUACCUGUAUGUGGUGCAGUAGAUAUAUACCUGUAUGUGGU